CAUCCUACGGGAGGCAGCAGUUGGGGGAAUAUUGCACAAUUGGGCGCAAGCCUGAUGCAGCCAUGCCGCGUGUAUGAAGAAGGCCUUCGGGUUGUAAAGUACUUUUCAGCAGUGAGGAAGGUGGGUAUGUUAAUAGCAUAUUCAUUUGACGUUUAGCUGCAGAAGAAGCACCGGCUAACUCCGUGCCAGCAGCCGCGGUAAUACGGAGGGUGCGAGCGUUUAAUCGGAAUUACUGGGCGUAAAGCGCAUGCAGGUGGUUUGUUAAGUCAGAUGUGAAAGCCCGGGGCUCAACCUCGGAAUUGCAUUUGAAACUGGCAAACUAGAGUACUGUAGAGGGGGUAGAAUUUCAGGUGUAGCGGUGAAAUGCGUAGAGAUCUGAAGGAAUACCGGUGGCGAAGGCGGCCCCCUGGACAGAUACUGACACUCAGAUGCGAAAGCGUGGGGAGCAAACAGGAUUAGAUACCCUGGUAG
rnacentral:rRNA from 1 species